rnacentral:rRNA from 1 species
ACGCUCGACACCUCGGGAGCAGCAGUGGGGAAUAUUGGGCAAUGGGCGCAAGCCUGACCCAGCAACGCCGCGUGAAGGAAGAAGGCCCUCGGGUUGUAAACUUCUUUUGUCAGGGACGAAGCAAGUGACGGUACCUGACGAAUAAGCCACGGCUAACUACGUGCCGGCAGCCGCGGUAAUCUGAGCGGGCUGGCAAGGC